GCGCCAGACUCCUACGGGAGGCAGCAGUGGGGAAUAUUGCACAAUGGGGGAAACCCUGAUGCAGCGACGCCGCGUGAGUGAAGAAGUAUUUCGGUAUGUAAAGCUCUAUCAGCAGGGAAGAAAAUGACGGUACCUGAUUAAGAAGCCCCGGCUAACUACGUGCCAGCAGCCGCGGUAAUACGUAGGGGGCAAGCGUUAUCCGGAAUUACUGGGUGUAAAGGGAGCGUAGACGGUGAAGUAAGUCUGGAGUGAAAGGCGGGGGCCCAACCCCCGGACUGCUCUGGAAACUAUUUGACUGGAGCGCAGGAGAGGUAAGCGGAAUUCCUAGUGUAGCGGUGAAAUGCGUAGAUAUUAGGAGGAACACCAGUGGCGAAGGCGGCUUACUGGACUGUAACUGACGUUGAGGCUCGAAAGCGUGGGGAGCAAACAGGAUUAGAUACCCCGGUAAC
rnacentral:rRNA from 1 species